rnacentral:rRNA from 1 species
CCUACGGGAGGCAGCAGUGGGGAAUCUUGCACAAUGUGCGAAAGCCUGAUGCAGCGACGCCGCGUGCGGGACGAAGGCCUUCGGGUCGUAAACCGCUUUCAGCAGGGACGAGGCCGCAAGGUGACGGUACCUGCAGAAGAAGCCCCGGCUAACUACGUGCCAGCAGCCGCGGUAAUACGUAGGGGGCGAGCGUUAUCCGGAUUCAUUGGGCGUAAAGCGCGCGUAGGCGGCCUGCUAGGUCGGGAGUCAAAUCCGGGGGCUCAACCCCCGUCCGCUCCCGAUACCGGCUGGCUUGAGUCUGGUAGGGGAAGGUGGAAUUCCCAGUGUAGCGGUGGAAUGCGCAGAUAUUGGGAAGAACACCGGUGGCGAAGGCGGCCUUCUGGGCCACGACUGACGCUGAGGCGCGAAAGCUAGGGGAGCGAACAGGAUUAGAUACCCGGGUAGUC